GUCCAACACACAAAACAAGCAGUGAAUGUGCUUUGGGGUGGGGUGACUGCGUACCUUUUGUAUAAUGGGUCAGCGACUUAUAUUCUGUAGCAAGGUUAACCGUAUAGGGGAGCCGUAGGGAAACCGAGUCUUAACUGGGCGAAUGAGUUGCAGGGUAUAGACCCGAAACCCGGUGAUCUAGCCAUGGGCAGGUUGAAGGUUGGGUAACACUAACUGGAGGACCGAACCGACUAAUGUUGAAAAAUUAGCGGAUGACUUGUGGCUGGGGGUGAAAGGCCAAUCAAACCGGGAGAUAGCUGGUUCUCCCCGAAAGCUAUUUAGGUAGCGCCUCGUGAACUCAUCUUCGGGGGUAGAGCACUGUUUCGACUAGGGGGUCAUCCCGACUUACCAACUCGAUGCAAACUACGAAUACCGAAGAAUGUUAUCACGGGAGACACACGGCGGGUGCUAACGUUCGUCGUGAAGAGGGAAACAACCCAGACCGCCAGCUAAGGUCCCAAAGUCAUAGUUAAGUGGGAAACGAAGUGGGAAGGCUCAGACAGCCAGGAUGUUGGCUUAGAAGCAGCCAUCAUUUAAAGAAAGCGUAAUAGCUCACUGGUCGAGUCGGCCUGCGCGGAAGAUGUAACGGGGCUAAACUAUGCACCGAAGCUGCGGCAGCGAACGUAUCACUUAAACUGAUUAAGUGAUACUCAAAUGUAUCAAAACGAUUGACGGAGCGAAGCGACGUCAAUGCGUCCAACAAAGUCGAGGCGGAAACGUCAGGCAGUCAGUUUAAGGAUACGUUCGUUGGGUAGGGGAGCGUUCUGUAAGCCUGUGAAGGUGUACUGUGAGGUAUGCUGGAGGUAUCAGAAGUGCGAAUGCUGACAUAAGUAACGAUAAUGCGGGUGAAAAACCCGCACGCCGGAAGACCAAGGGUUCCUGUCCAACGUUAAUCGGGGCAGGGUGAGUCGACCCCUAAGGCGAGGCAGAAAUGCGUAGUCGAUGGGAAACGGGUUAAUAUUCCCGUACUGGUGAUAAUUGCGAUGGGGGGACGGAGAAGGCUAGGCUAUCCGGGCGACGGUUGUCCCGGUUUAAGAAUGUAGGCAGGUGAAUUAGGCAAAUCCGGUUCACUACAUGCUGAGGUUCGAUGACGAGUCACUACGGUGAUGAAGUAGCUCAUGCCCCGCUUCCAGGAAAAGCCUCUAAGCUCUAGAUUAUCAUUAAUCGUACCCCAAACCGACACAGGUGGUCAGGUAGAGAAUACUCAGGCGCUUGAGAGAACUCGGGUGAAGGAACUAGGCAAAAUGGUGCCGUAACUUCGGGAGAAGGCACGCUGGCGCUAGGUGAAGUCCCUCGCGGAUGGAGCUGAAGCCAGUCGCAGAUACCAGCUGGCUGCAACUGUUUAUUAAAAACACAGCACUGUGCAAACACGAAAGUGGACGUAUACGGUGUGACGCCUGCCCGGUGCUGGAAGGUUAAUUGAUGGGGUUAUCCGUAAGGAGAAGCUCUUGAUCGAAGCCCCAGUAAACGGCGGCCGUAACUAUAACGGUCCUAAGGUAGCGAAAUUCCUUGUCGGGUAAGUUCCGACCUGCACGAAUGGCGUAAUGAUGGCCAGGCUGUCUCCACCCGAGACUCAGUGAAAUUGAACUCGCUGUGAAGAUGCAGUGUACCCGCGGCAAGACGGAAAGACCCCGUGAACCUUUACUAUAGCUUGACACUGAACAUUGAGCCUUGAUGUGUAGGAUAGGUGGGAGGCUUCGAAGCGUGGACGCCAGUCUGCGUGGAGCCAACCUUGAAAUACCACCCUUUAAUGUUUGAUGUUCUAACGUAGCCCCGUUAUCCGGGGUGCGGACAGUGUCUGGUGGGUAGUUUGACUGGGGCGGUCUCCUCCCAAAGAGUAACGGAGGAGCACGAAGGUUGGCUAAGCAUGGUCGGACAUCAUGCGGUUAGUGCAAAGGCAUAAGCCAGC
rnacentral:rRNA from 1 species